rnacentral:rRNA from 1 species
UACGUAGGCAGCAAGCGUUGUUCGGAGUUACUGGGCGUAAAGGGUGCGUAGGCGGUCCUAUAAGUAUGGUGUGAAAUCUCCCGGCUUAACUGGGAGGGUGCGCUAUAGACUGUGGGACUAGAGUGUGGGAGAGGAAAGUGGAAUUCCUGGUGUAGCGGUGAAAUGCGUAGAUAUCAGGAGGAACACCGGUGGUGUAAACGGCUUUCUGGACCGUAACUGACGCUGAGGCACGAAAGCGUGGGUAGCAAACAGG